rnacentral:rRNA from 1 species
AACGAUGGAUGCUAGCUGUAUUCGGUAUCGACCCCGAAUGUAGCGAAGCUAACGCGUUAAGCAUCCCGCCUGUGGAGUACGGUCGCAAGACUAAAACAUAAAGGAAUUGACGGGGACCCGCACAAGCGGUGGAGCGUGUUGUUUAAUUCGAUGGUAAACGAAGAACCUUACCCAGGCUUGACAUCCUGCGAAGGUCUCCGAAAGGAGACUGUGCCUUGUGAGCGCAGUGACAGGUGUUGCAUGGCCGUCGUCAGCUCGUGUCGUGAGAUGUUUGGUUAAGUCCAUCAACGAGCGCAACCCUUAUUGUCUGUUGUAUUUUUCAGGCAAGACUGCCCUGGCAACAGGGAGGAAGGAGGGGAUGAUGUCAGGUCAGUAUUACCCUUACGUCUGGGGCUACAAACACGCUACAAUGGCCGGUACAAAGGGCAGCCAAAGCGCAAGCUGGAGCAAAUCCCAUCAAAGCCGGUCCCAGUUCGGAUAGCAGGCUGAAACUCGCCUGCUUGAAGUCGGAAUCGCUAGUAACGGUAGGUCAGCUAUACUACCGUGAAUACGUUCCCGGGUCUUGUACACACCGCCCGUCAAACCAUGAAAGUCGCCAAUACCUGACGUGCUAGCUUGCCUAGCCCUAAGGUAGGGGAGAUGAUUGGGGUUAAGUCGUAACAAGGUAACCAAGGG